ensembl:lncRNA
AAAUGAUCAUUCUCACAAACAAUAUAUCUUUUAUUUGCAAUUAAACCUCGAUAGAAUCAAAGCAUACAUUUGUAAAAACAUUGCUUGAAUCUACUUGGCAUACCUCAACAAGCAUAUUGUAUCUAAGGUGUGUCAAGAACAUUGAGCAUCACGCAAUCCACCCUUUAGCCAGAAUAGAUUCCAACCCUACGCUCGCUUACAACUGCACUGGGGUCGGACAGGCUGGGGUCGGACGACUCGUUCAAUCUUCUCGGUAUAACAGUUGGGAUAAUGGGACAAUUCAGAGUACAAUACAUUUCUCAUCAUUGGAUUGAGAACUCUCUCCCUCUCUCUCUCUCUCUCUCUGUGUGGGUGAUUGUGUGGGCAGAGACAGGUGCGCUGGAGUCAGAGCAGAUACCCACCAGCUGCAACCUGUUCCAUAAUCAAGACCUCUACAAAUACUCAGCCCUGCCACUUCCAUGCUGCCAGAUCGUAAUCUCUGCUCAUUCUGCCCGCUCUGACUCUGGUCCCUGUCUCCAGUCCCACGUCUCGUCAUCCUGCUACUCUGUCCUGGAUUCCCCACACUACCCUGUCUCAACCCCUCUCGCUCCAACCUCAGCCUCCGCACCUGGUUUCCAGCGACCCGCCCGAGCUUCCCCUGACCUGCACUACAUCUCCCCCCUGUGUUUCAAUAAAUACCUUGGUUACUUCAUCCCAGUCUCCUCGUCUGAGUCAGCUCUUGGGUUCCCCUGUUUCACUCCGCUUAACAAACCCCA